rnacentral:misc_RNA from 7 species
UUUCUAUGGAGUAAUACAUAGAUAUAUAUAAGCUGAGUGAAUAUUAAUAGACAGCUUUUGGCUUGUAUCUUGGUUCUAUCUAGUUUUCAGAGAUUGUUUUAGUUUGUUUACAAACUUGACAAUUUCUGAAAAGAAAUCGUUCUUUGAAAACUGAAUAUUAGAUGAAUUAGACAAUUUUAUUUUUCUUACGUUUCAAUAUAAACGUAAUAGUAACUUAAAAAGUUUUACUAAGAAAACUAAAAUUUCAAUUUUAUAUAGAUUAUCUAUAUUUGCAAUA